rnacentral:lncRNA from 1 species
AAAAAGAUAGCACUUUGCACAGUCUUUUCACAUUAAGACUGAUUACAAAAGUCACCUGAAAAAGUAAGACAAAUUGAAGCUGCUGUUAAAGCUAUUUUAAUUGGUACUAGCUAUCUCUAGGAAAAGAGUAAGAAGAAAGGGCCUGGGAUGAGCAGAAUACUAUGCUCUAGGCUCAGUUCACAUACAGAAAACAUGUAUGGAUCACAGCUGCCCUAAUAACAGAGGAAGUCAUUCAGAAAAACAAGUGGCCAACAGGGGAAAGUUGUGGUUCCCUAAACAGAAGACUCCAUUCUGGAAAAACAGCCUUUACUCCAAGGAAUGCAGUCAUCUUCACUAGAGGCUUACCUCAUUGGAGUUGUUAUAGAAAAACUCAUCAUCCUCAUCACCAGAAUUCUCUCAAGGGGACCUGAUUCCUGUCUUAUCAUUUAUUUAAAAUCCAGAUCUUCUCUACUGAAGCAACUGAGAUAGUGUACAUCACUGCUGCAGUCAGACUUCCAUUCAUCACUGGAGAACGAAGGCCCCACCUCCUCCUCCUUGCCUACCUCUGUACUCCACUGUUGCAGUUACUUCAGCCAACCUAAAAGGGUAAGAUAGAAAUUGAUAAAAGCAAUUUAAAGUUUUUGGGUUGUGCUGUUGUUUUUUAAUUCUUGAGAUUUUGCUUCAAGUGCAUCUCAUGGAACUAUGUCAUCUUUGGCACUGAGUCUUUGAGAGAUUGCUGUCUUAAAUGAACAUUGACUGGAGUAUUACAGCACAGAUUCUCAGCUAGUGUAAAUAUACUUUUAAGUCUGUUGACUUCAGUGGCAGUCUGAUGGAUGCCAGCUAGGAACCUGUCUCAAAAACCUCUGAAAAUGGUCUUCAUUUGCCCAUCCAAGUGGGUGACAAUCUGUAAACAUGCAAAUAUGGAUUGUGUAGAAACAUGCCUACAGGAAUGAAGGCAAGGAAGCAAACUAAAGCAAACCCAAACUAGUAAAAGAGCACCCAGUCAUUACAUACCGAAUCCUUCAUGUAUACAGUCACUACUGCAUCCUGAUUUAGCAGAGUGCUUUCUGAAAAUAGUUGAGA